GCCAAACAUGAUAUUUUGAUUCCAGCAUAUGAAAUCCGAUCAUAGAUUUCAUUUCAUAUGAAAUGAAAUGAAAUUCCAGGUGCCAAACGACCUGUAAGUUUAUUGAGUGUUAAAAACCGAUAGAAAGGGCAUCUGGGACGAGGCCCAAGCCCAACCAAGCCGACCCUAAGCCAUUUCCUCCAAAAGCACGCGACGCGAGCUUCCUUCUUCCCCCAAAUCCUCCCGGCCGCCUCCCUUCUCCCCCAAAAUCCAUUGCCGCCCUUCUCCAGCUCCAUUCCCCCAUACAAGUUUGCUCCCAGAAGAUCCGCCGCCCAGCACCGAUCCUCUCCAUCCCUGCCCUCAGCGCGAGGCGGCGUGCUUGCUCGAGGACCCUGGGCGUGGCCAUGAAGGAGGGGGACGGGUGGAGCAGCGAGAGGCGGUGGCCGCACGGGAGCACCAAGUUCGGUGGCCUAUCCAUCAUCCCGGAAUGGAAUUCGCUUCCAACGGAGCUUGUCCAAGUUGUCGCCGACCGCGUCCUCUCGACCACCGGCGGCGUCGACGCGUACAUGGACAUGAGGGCCGUCUGCUCAACCUGGCGCUCUGCCAUCGCCAAGCCAUCUCCGCUCGCCGCGGUAGCUGGCCUCCGUUUCCGCCCACGCCACUGGGUCAUGCUGGACCUGCAACCCGACGACCGCAACGACGACGAUGACGCUCGCCUCUUCCUCCACGUCCCCACCGGGCGCAUCCGCCGCCUGCACCUCCCGGUGCUCCGCGACAACUUCGUCGCCGGUGCUACUGACGGUCUCCUCGUGCGCGGGGACAUGUAUCCACCGCACUUGGCUCGUGUCCUCAACCCCUUUACAGGUGACAUGCUCCACUUCCCCGCGGCGUUACCUCGACAUUUUAAGCAUACCUCGGUGAAGGGAGGCUCUCAUUCAACGCUGGUCUUGCUGAGAUGGGGCUCGGUGGUCUGUGCUGCCCCGAACAGCGAUUUCUUUACAGAGACAGAGGAGGCCGUUGAAACGUACCUGGUGAGCAUUGUUAACUACCAAGGCGACGUCUAUUGUGCCGAUGCGCGUGGAUGUGUAUUCAAGUUGGUCGCACCAGCAGCAGACCAGUGUGAUGAUGAUGAGCUCCUGGUCAUACCCGAGGUGUCGCCGCCGGGUGUGGACGUAUAUGCAGAAGAGGGAGAUGAUGAUGAUGAUACAAAAGAGGGAGAUGAUGGCAGCGAAAUGCCUUCUUAUCUCGUGGAGUCUGCUGGGGAACUGUUGCUUGUUCGCUAUGUGGAUGAAACUUUGAAAGUUUUCAGAGUCGACGUCGAGCACAAGUUGUUGGAAGAGGUCAAGAGCCUCGGCGGCCGCACGUUGUUCCUCGGCCAAGAGAGGUGUGUCUCUGUGGAUGCAGCUAAGCUUCCGUCUGUUGACGGAGAUUGCAUAUACAUGUUAGAUUUUGAAAACGUGUCCAUGUCAGAUUCUGAAGACAUGUCCAUGUCAGAUUCUGAAGACAUGCCCAUUUUAGAUUCUGGAGACAAGUGCGACAUGUGCGUGUAUAACCUAAGAGGUGACAUGGUGGAUAUUAUCUACAGCAAGGACUUUCGUGCUCGACCUUUUAGCCUUGUUCAGGUUCUCUUGUGGUACUGCGAUGUCCUUCCCAAAUUGUAGAGGUUGUGAAAAUAAACCUGUUCUGGCCUUGCUGCUAGUGCCUCGUGCCACUGUGAGUAGUAGAUUAAGUAGUAGGGUUUUCCAUGUUGGAACAGUUUUAUGUACUAUUUUGAUUAUCUCCUUCAUAUUAUAUAUUGCAUCGCUCGACUGAUGCUAUUUAUCAGCUA